UCACUUGUUAGAUCUAGUAUGUAAUUUCUCUAGUACCACAUUUGCUAUUGUUUUUUCCCUUUGUUUGGUUCAGUGGUUCUUUGUUUGUAGUCUGUAUAUUGUAGUAAGAAAUUGAAGAACAAAAGAUAUGUAGAAACGAUUGCUUGGUUUAAUUUUCCAAGAUGUUUGUAUGUAGUCCAACUUCUACUGAUCUGGUGAGAAAAGUAUCUUUGAUCAUUUUCUUAGCAUAUAUUUUAUCACCAAUAACCAUAUGCUGAUGGAUGCAGCUUUUUUAGUUGGCUUGCUGAAACUCAGCUUAAAGAUAUUGCAGAUGGGCUUAGUGAUGAGGUGGGAGAGAUAAUUAAGGACGGCUUAUGGCCCAAUCCACCGAAUUUUUUUAACAACAUAACACUUUACCUUUCAUUCUAGGUUAUGUGACAUGAAGAAUCUGACGGAGACGAGGACGAUGAAGAGGCACUACUACUUGAGUCUUGACUCCAAUCUUAACCUUUUCCUUUCAAGCUGCUACAGCCAGUACUACACAAGUUUCAUAGAGUGACAUGGAAGAUGAUGCAUUGUGGUGAAGUUGUUUGGACUUUUUCAGAAAUAGUGAUGAAAUGUUGGAAUGUCGAUGACCAUAGUUAGCUGUCAAUCUGAUGACUCAUUAAAGCCUUAGAAUGAAAAAAAAAAAUGUUCACGUAUAAAAAAAAGGUGGACAUGGGCAACAAGAAACGAGAGUGUAAGUUGAGGCAUUAACCAUUAGUCCCAGCCUCAGUUGAUUAGCAAGUUGUACUUUUCUUUAGUAAGCAGCACUAUGGUGCUCCACAAUAUGGUGAUAGGUUAAACACUGCUCUUUGAUCAGUGAUUCACCAGCCACCGGUCGCUAGAUCCAGGAAAUUCACCUUAAUUUCAAACCUGGGGGCUCAGCUGAUUCGCGGCUUUGUUCUAUAUAUAGUACCUUUUUCAAGUAAUUAAUAUGCCAGAGUUUACUUGUGAUUGGUUGAA